AUUGAACGCUGGCGGAAUGCUUUACACAUGCAAGUCGAACGGCAGCACGGGGGCAACCCUGGUGGCGAGUGGCGAACGGGUGAGUAAUACAUCGGAACGUGCCCAGUCGUGGGGGAUAACUACGCGAAAGCGUAGCGAAUACCGCAUACGAACUGAGGUUGAAAGCGGGGGAUCGCAAGACCUCGCGCGAUUGGAGCGGCCGAUGGCAGAUUAGGUAGUUGGUGGGGUAAAGGCCUACCAAGCCUGCGAUCUGUAGCUGGUCCGAGAGGACGACCAGCCACACUGGGACUGAGACACGGCCCAGACUCCUACGGGAGGCAGCAGUGGGGAAUUUUGGACAAUGGGCGCAAGCCUGAUCCAGCCAUUCCGCGUGCAGGAUGAAGGCCUUCGGGUUGUAAACUGCUUUUGUACGGAACGAAACGGUGCUGGUUAAUACCUGGCGCUAAUGACGGUACCGUAAGAAUAAGCACCGGCUAACUACGUGCCAGCCGCCGCAGUAACAC
rnacentral:rRNA from 1 species